AGUGAACGCUGGCGGUAGGCCUAACACAUGCAAGUCGAACGGCAGCACAGUAAGAGCUUGCUCUUACGGGUGGCGAGUGGCGGACGGGUGAGGAAUACAUCGGAAUCUACUUUUUCGUGGGGGAUAACGUAGGGAAACUUACGCUAAUACCGCAUACGACCUACGGGUGAAAGCAGGGGAUCUUCGGACCUUGCGCGAUUGAAUGAGCCGAUGUCGGAUUAGUUAGUUGGCGGGGUAAAGGCCCACCAAGGCGACGAUCCGUAGCUGGUCUGAGAGGAUGAUCAGCCACACUGGAAAUGAGACACGGUCCAGACUCCUACGGGAGGCAGCAGUGGGGAAUAUUGGACAAUGGGCGCAAGCCUGGUCCAGCCAUACCGCGUGGGUGAAGAAGGCCUUCGGGUUGUAAAGCCCUUUUGUUGGGAAAGAAAAGCAGCAGGUUAAUACCCCGCUGUUCUGACGGUACCCAAAGAAUAAGCACCGGCUAACUUCGUG
rnacentral:rRNA from 1 species